UACAGAGGGGGCAAGCGUUGUUCGGAAUUACUGGGCGUAAAGGGCGCGUAGGCGGCCUGUUAAGUCGAACGUGAAAUCCCUGGGCUCAACCCAGGAACUGCGUCCGAUACUGGCAGGCUUGAAUUCGGGAGAGGGAUGCGGAAUUCCAGGUGUAGCGGUGAAAUGCGUAGAUAUCUGGAGGAACACCGGUGGCGAAGGCGGCAUCCUGGACCGAUACUGACGCUGAGGAGCGAAAGCCAGGGGAGCAAACGGG
rnacentral:rRNA from 1 species